AUGGGGAUAUCAAAAUAUGGAAAAAUAUAUAAGGAAUGCAGCUCUGAUAUGUAUAUAAGCGAUUCGAUAAAAACAUGAAGAUAUACUUGAUGAAAGCUUUUCUCCAUAAGUUUUUUGUCUCACCUGUGUUGUUGUCUGCUUAACCACUUUGGUCGUAUGCUCCUCGAUGUACUCACUGUGCGAGUAUUGUUCGACGCUUUCGACAGCCU